rnacentral:rRNA from 1 species
GUGUCAGCAGCCGCGGUAAUACGGGGGGGGCGAGCGUUGUUCGGAAUUACUGGGCGUAAAGGGUUUGUAGGUGGUCUGCUAAGUCAGACGUGAAAUCCCUCAGCUUAACUGGGGAACUGCGUCUGAUACUGGCGGACUUGAGGACAGGAGAGGAACGCGGAAUUCCAGGUGUAGCGGUGAAAUGCGUAGAUAUCUGGAGGAACACCGGUGGCGAAGGCGGCGUUCUGGACUGUUUCUGACACUGAAAAACGAAAGCCAGGGGAGCAAACGGGAUUAGAUACCCCGGUAGUCC